rnacentral:tRNA from 8 species
GAGAAAGACAUAGUGGUUAUGAUGUUGGCUUGAAACCAAUUAUAGGGGGUUCGAAUCCUUCCUUUCUUA